rnacentral:rRNA from 1 species
ACGGGUGAGUAACACGUAUGCAAUCCACCUGUAACAGGGGGAUAACCCGGAGAAAUCCGGACUAAUACCCCAUAAUAUGGGCGCUCCGCAUGGAGAGUCCAUUAAAGAGAGCAAUCUUGGUUACAGACGAGCAUGCGCUCCAUUAGCCAGUUGGCGGGGUAACGCCCACCAAGGCGACGAUGGAUAGGGGUUCUGAGAGGAAGGUCCCCCACAUUGGAACUGAGACACGGUCCAA